rnacentral:lncRNA from 1 species
GCUACCCUCAAAGGCAACCUCUCGUUUGACUGGUACAUCAAGACCUCGCAUAACCACCUCCUGAUCGUGAGCACAGCUGAGAUCUUGUUUAACGAUUCCGUGUUCACCCUGCUGCCGGGACAGGGGGCGUUUGUGAGGUCCCAGACGGAGACCAAAGUGGAGCCGUUCGAGGUCCCCAACCCCCUGCCGCUCAUCGUGGGCAGCUCUGUCGGGGGACUGCUGCUCCUGGCCCUCAUCACCGCCGCGCUGUACAAGGUGCUCCCCGCUGCUCCCCCACCCCCUCCCUUCAUCCUCUCGGGCCUCGCGCUGCAGCUCCGUGCCUCGGUUUCCCCGGCGGGGCUGCCAGCUGUGUGACUGGGGCGAGUCUGGGAGCCUCUCUGCGCCUCAGUCUCUUAGGGAGGGUGGCCGGGUUCAUGCGCGGGGCGCGCUGAGAACGAGUCGCCCUCCUUGUAGUUUCUGUUUUUCUCCAGGCCCCGACGCGGAUGUCACUCCCCUCCCGCCCCGCCCUCCUGGGUC